UCCCGGGUGGCGUAAUCGGCAACGUACCUGGCUCUGACCCAGGGGUUCCUCGUUCGAGUCGAGGCCCGGGAG
rnacentral:tRNA from 1 species